rnacentral:lncRNA from 1 species
GAAAAUCGAGUAAGGAUAUUGUUGGUGUCCUUAACUCAAGAAUUUAGUUUUCAAUUAUUUAUUUAUUAAAUUUUGAAAACCCGGCUAAGUGAAUCAUAGAAUAUUAAGCACUACACCAUGACUUAAGAUUAGCUUCACGAGACCUAUUAAGAAUAGAAUUUCUUGUAGGCUUUGUGACCAGGGGGAUUAGCGCUGCUUUCCCAAGACAGGUUUAUAUGUGAUUAUGAUCUUCAGGCUUUGCCUAACCAGGUGGGCUUACUUUCCAAAUGUACAAAGUAUGAUUGAGUUAUUAAGCUCUAAAUGUUUCAAUGAAAUGCAAAUUGUUUAUUUAAUGUAAUGAAAACUGUUUAUCCAAUAAAAUGUUUAUGUGCACUCUGCUCUGUUUAAGGCUCGCACAGUUAAUCAAUUGAGGUUCUCUUAUGACCUAAUACGUUGUUUGAGAAUUGUGUACACUUGUUAGUUGACUCGGUGGGUUGAUCUCCAUCGGGCUCUAACCAGAGGCGUUAUAAGGGUGCUCGGCUGGAUGUGUUCCGGAGCAUGAGAAAUAUCAGGCCUGCCUGGGUAGCGUCCCGAGGUCAAAGUAAACUUGUCUGGGUUACGCCCUCAGUUCAAGUAAGCGGGAGACAGAGAUCCGUCGGUGGCUAAAAGGUCCGGGAUCACAGCGAGUAACAGAAAGGGAGUGUGACAUGUGCGCACAAAUGAAAGAAAAUGUUUUAACAUGCUUAGAAGUUAUUUCAAUUUAAAACCUUCUAAGUCAUGUCAAGUAUGAUUGGAUAAACUGUCUUUAUUAAAAUAUAAAAUGUUUCAGAAAAUGCAUGCCCACUAAGUACAUUAGUACUUAGCCCAAAAAUACUUUCAAAUGUUUUCAGGUUGGCUGGCCGGUGCUGACGGGACGGAGCUGAGGCUAGUGAUAAAUUCCUAUGUUAGACUUCCGCUGUAGCAAUUACUCAUAUCAGUCUUUUGUUUUUCCAACUUAAGAUCUUCAUGUUAAAUUUCAAAUGAUAUAUUUGACCGAGCUUAGGCUCUUCACUACUAAAUUUAUGCAAAUGAAUGUCGGUUGUCAGAAGCAUGAAACAAAACUUGUGAUCCAAAGGGGCAUAGCCCGAC